ACUGUCUAUGAUGUCUUAACCUACAUUAAAUGAGUUUCACGACCAUGAGAAAACUCACAUGCACUACCAUCUGAGACAGU